CGGAGAUUAGCCCAUCGCCGAAGCCCGGUGCUUUUGCAUGCAGGGCAAUGUGGCGUUUAAGCAUGCGUCUGGGAUUCCCACCUACCCGAAGUCCAACUCCGAUUAUGGCAUUGGAUAUUCCCCAGAGCGGGUGAAAGGCCCCUCCGGGUAGGUAUUAGUAAUCAUGUGCGGAUCCUCAGCUGCGUGUGCUUUCGAGUCGGAUUGCUUGUGAAUGCAGUCCAAAGUGGGUGGUAAACUCCAUCCAAGGCUAAAUACUGGCACGAGUCCGAUAGUAGACAAGUACCGUGAGGGAAAGUUGAAAAGUACUCUGAAGAGAGAGUAAAUAGUACGUGAAGCUGGUUGCAGGGAAGCUGGUGGAGUCAAGCUUCAU
rnacentral:rRNA from 1 species